CGCGCAGGCGGCGUCGUAAGUCGGUCUUAAAAGUGCGGGGCUUAACCCCGUGAGGGGACCGAAACUGCGAUGCUAGAGUAUCGGAGAGGAAAGCGGAAUUCCUAGUGUAGCGGUGAAAUGCGUAGAUAUUAGGAGGAACACCAGUGGCGAAAGCGGCUUUCUGGACGACAACUGACGCUGAGGCGCGAAAGCCAGGGGAGCAAACGGAAUUAGAUACUCUGGUA
rnacentral:rRNA from 1 species